rnacentral:rRNA from 1 species
UACGAGGGGGGCAAGCGUUGUUCGGAAUUAUUGGGCGUAAAGGGCGCGUAGGCGGUGCGGUAAGUCACCUGUGAAAACUCUGGGCUCAACUCAGAGCCUGCAGGCGAAACUGCCGUGCUUGAGUGUGGGAGAGGUGCGUGGAAUUCCCGGAGUAGCGGCGAAAUGCGCAGAUAUCAGGAAGAACACCCGUGGCGAAAGCGGCUCUCUGGAACGGUACUGACGCUGAGACGCGAAAGCGUGGGGAGCGAACAGG